GGGCGGGGCCGGGGCCAGAGGGCGGCUCCCGCCCGCGUGCACACCCGGAAGCGCACCGGCGUCAGCGCUCAGAGCCGGGGGAAGCAGCGCCGCCGCCGCCGCCGUCCCUGCAGCCAGCUCCUCAGUCAUGCCGAAGCACGAGUUCUCCGUGGACAUGACCUGUGAAGGCUGCUCUAAUGCAGUCACUCGGGUCCUCAACAAGCUGGGAGGAGUUCAAUUUGACAUUGACCUGCCCAACAAGAAGGUCUGUGUCGACUCUGAGCACAGCGUGGACACUCUGCUGGAGACCCUGGGGAAAACAGGAAAGGCCGUUUCCUACCUCGGCCCCAAGUAGCGAGGGCCUGGGCCCCCAGCCUGCAGGAUGGACCAAAGUGGGCAGGAAGUGUCGAACCUAUGCAAGUAGGAUAGUAAAAUGAAUCUCCACGUACCCAUCACCCAGAUCCAACGAUUAUCAAGUCAUUGCCAUCAUUUCAUCCAUGGCCCGCUCUCUCCACCCCCAUAUUCACAGCAAAUUCAGGCAUCAUAUAAUUUCAUCUGCACAUCUGUCAGUAACCAUGUGUAGUAUGAAAAGGCUCCUGGAGAUUCAUAUGCACGGCACUGGGUGAGAAUCACUGAUCAGGAUGCUGAGCCAGCUCCUGCCUUCCAGACAGAUCUAGAACCUGACAAUCCUGCUCAGCGAUGGUAGUUCCUGCGGAGACCCUCACUUGCCCUGCUCCUCUGUAGCUUCCUUGCAAUAAAGUCAAGUCGAUUUUGCUGGAGA